CAACCUACCUAUCAGAGGGGAAUAACCCGGCGAAAGUCGGACUAAUACCGCAUAAAACAGGGGCACCGCAUGGUGAUAUUUGUUAAAGAAAUUCGCUGAUAGAUGGGCAUGCGUUCCAUUAGGUAGAUGGUGAGGUAACGGCUCACCAAGCCGACGAUGGAUAGGGGAACUGAGAGGUUGGUCCCCCACACUGGUACUGAGACACGGACCAGACUCCUACGGGAGGCAGCAGUGAGGAAUAUUGGUCAAUGGGCGGGAGCCUGAACCAGCCAAGUCGCGUGAAGGAAGAAGGAUCUAUGGUUCGUAAACUUCUUUUGCAGGGGAAUAAAGUGCAGGACGUGUCCUGUUUUGUAUGUACCCUGAGAAUAAGGAUCGGCUAACUCCGUGCCAGCAGCCGCGGUAAUACGGAGGAUCCGAGCGUUAUCCGGAUUUAUUGGGUUUAAAGGGCGCGUAGGUGGUUUGAUAAGUCAGCGGUGAAAGUUUGCAGCUUAACUGUAAAAAUGCCGUUGAAACUGUCGGACUUGAGUGUAAAUGAGGUAGGCGGAAUGCGUGGUGUAGCGGUGAAAUGCAUAGAUAUCACGAAGAACUCCGAUUG
rnacentral:rRNA from 1 species